UGUGUUCUCCCCCCUCGCUCUCCUUUGGUAAAGAAGAAAAUAAACCUAUUGCUGCUAACAAGGCUAGUAAUGGAACCAACCCUUAAAUACCGCUUUAGCCCUCUGUGACUGGCCGGGAGGUGCUUCCCCUGCAAGCAGCGUCUCCACCUGGAAGAAAAGCUCUGGAACACUCUGGACUUACGAACCGUCGCCUCUUUAAAAGUCAAGUUAAAUACGCCAGCCAGGAGAGGUUUUCAUUAGCCUAUCUGCAAGUUAGCUGACUGGGCUAGCCGUGGAUGAACUUCGCAUGGAGUGACUGCUGGGAGAGUAGCCUGCUGUCUGACUGCAAGCUUUCUUUUAUCCUUCACAUGGGAGUCUGUUGUUGGCGCUAUCGCCUCGGAGCUUGAAGGCGAGAACUGUGCAAUUGCUGUAUGUGUGGCGUAAGCAAUCACGUUAUUGAUCUGGAGACCCACUGGCAAGCUAACAGGAUAUUAGCCACCUAUCUCCGCUUUGUGGUUGCAGGCCAUGGACUGAGAAGCACCCAUCACUGGCUGAGUGAUGAGAAGGCUGGCUUGAUGGCAGGCGGUGGUUAUUUAUUGGGAAGCAGUAAUUGGAUAAACAGACAAAAGAAGCGUUUGAUUUGAACCCUGGACAAUUCCUGUUGUGCUUUCAAAAUGCAUCGGAGUGCUGGAGCUCUUCCUACGUUGGGAUAGAAGAGACGCACAAGAAAACAGCGGCACUAAAAUACACAAAAGAGAAAUUAUCCCAUAAAGUUCAAAUAAGAGGUGAAAUAUAAUGUCUACCGCAAAAGAAAACCCCUGUAGGAAAUUCCAGGCGAACUUCUUCAACAAAAGUAAAUGUCAGAACUGCUUCAAACCACGGGAGUUACAUCUGUUGACGGACCAGGACCUGACCCAGGCUAAACCUAUUUAUGGUGGAUGGCUGUGUUUGGCCCCUGAGGGAACUGACUUUGACAAUCCUAUGCAGAGAUCCCGGAAAUGGCAACGGAGAUUCUUUGUGCUGUACGAACAUGGCUGUCUGCGCUUUGCCCUGGACGAAUCGCCAAGCACUCUGCCUCAGGGCACAGUGAACAUGAACAUCUGUGUGGAUGUGAUUGACGCCGAGCCAAAGACAGGUCAGAAGAACUCGCUGUGCAUCAUGACCCCGGACCAGGAGUACUUCAUCAGAGGAGAGAAUAAAGAGAUCAUCAACGGGUGGAGUGAACAGCUGGUGGUCUACCCCCGAACCAACAAACAGAACCAGAAGAAGAAACGCAAGGUGGAGCCUACGACCUCUCAGGAGCCAGGUCCAGCUAAGGUAGCAGUGACCGGCUCUGGCAUCCCAGAGGCAGAGAAGGUUCCAGACUCAAGCUCCAUCAUCUGGCAGGAGGAGCUGAACCAGAGAGAAGCAGAGGGGGCUUCAGUCUGGGCCCCCGCUGACCUGCCUCCAGGUUCUCCUCAGACCCAAACAGGAGGCUCUGACGUUAGCUCGGUGAACGGUGACGAGGUGGACCGGGGCAGCCUGGCGCUGCAUGGCUCUGCCCCCCAUCCCCCCAGGGACCUGCUCUCCCCGACGGGCUCCUGCUCCAGCCUGGGGGGCAUCCCACGCUGCCUCUCCCCGGUCCCCAGCGACCCCUUCCCCUCCGGCAGCUCCCUGCUCUCUAACGGCUCUCACAUCAGCGGCUCCGUCAGCUCUCUGGACUCGGACGCCAGCGGCAGCACCGUGACCAGCAACGAAAGCCACCCGGCACACCAGAGGGGGGGCCACGCCUUCAGCCACCACGACACGCCGCGCGCUCGGAGGCUGGAGGCCGAAGCCAGGAAGGCUGAGAAGAGGAGCCGCUACAGGAGCCCCGAGAGGCAGGAGAGGGACGCCGUCCUCAGCCCCGAGAGGAGUCGCUCCGGUGUUAUCGAGAAGUUGGAGGCCUUGGAGCUGGAGAAUCAAGAGAAAAUGGAGGUGGAAGAGUCGGGGGGGAGUGGAUCCAGACAGGGCCGGAGUGAGCAGAGACGCUUCCAAAGAGGGGAUCAGAGACGUGACGUUGGUUCAGAUUUUCCCUCCGCCCUGCCGCCUCUGAGGAGAGCCAAGUCCCUGGACAGGAGGACCACUGAGUCCGUCAUGACGCCGGAUUUACUGAACUUCAAGAAAGGUUGGAUGGUGAAGUUGGAUGAGCAAGGCCAGUGGAAGAAAUACUGGUUUGUUUUGACGGAUCACAGCCUGAGAUACUACAAGGAUUCCAUCGCAGAGGAGGCCUCGGACCUGGAUGGGGAGAUCGACCUGUCCACUUGCUACAAUGUCACUGAAUACCAGGCUCAACGCAACUAUGGAUUCCAAAUACAUACCAAGGAGGGAGUGCAAACGCUGUCGGCCAUGACAGCAGGGAUACGCAGGAACUGGAUCCAAGCAGUGAUGAAGAACGUCCGACCAUCCACCGCCCCUGAUGUGGCAAGUUCUACUGAGGAUCAUGGCUCCUUCUCUCCUCUGGAGGGUCUGGUUAGGCCAGAUGUAACCCCCUCCUCUGAGGCGUCCACAGAGAGAGAAUCCACGGCAGGUGUCAUAAAGAGCCGGGCACGUGAACGCAGAAGAGAAGGCCGCUCUAAGACUUUCGACUGGGCUGAGUUCAGACCCAUCGCUCAGGCUCUGGCUCAGCAGCGGGCGCAAGAGGCAGAGAGCCUCCAUGCUGACCUGGAGCUGGAGCGCAGUCGUAGGAAAGAGGAGAGGCGGAAGCGUUAUGACUCUGUGACUAACUCAGCGCCGGAGCAGACACUUGUUAAAGCUGGAGGGAGGACUGACUGUGAGAGUGCAGAGAGAGUUGGACAAACAGAUCCUUUAGGUCCUGUGUCUUUGGAGAGGCAGCAGAUGGUGGAGGAGGUGAUUGAACAACACUGGCAACAGGUGGAGAAGACACCCAUGAGGGAGGAGAGGAGGGUGACUCUGCCCCCCCCAGUGCAAUCCAGAGAUACUACUGAGCUGGAGCAACUGCUGGAGAAUUACAAGCAAGGGAUAGAGGAGCUGAAGGCUCAGCUGGAGGGCUGUCACCAGCAGCUCCUCGACUCCAGCAAGCACAAGCAGGAGUUGGAGCUGCAGCUGAGAACAGCUCUGGAUAGAGAGCAUGACAUCCGCGCAGGUUACAUCUCCCCGCUGGAGCACCCUUUGGGUCUGGAGGCUGAUGUGACGCCCCAGACGAAGAGGCCCGAACUGGUUAGUUCUCAAGCACAGAGUUUAACAAAGAAGUACCAGGAGACCAAAGAGCUCCUGAAGCUGCAGGAGCUGAAAAAACGCAAUAUGCAGGCACAGCUUGGCCUUUCGCUUUCUCACUCUCCCAUCAAGGAUCCGUACUUUUCUGAACUUCCAAAUCUGUCUAUACCGGAAGGCCCACCCCCUGAACUUGUCGAAAAAACAGUUAGCUUCUUGCUUCAGGACAGUGAUGAGGCAAUUCAAGAACUAGAAGACAUGAUUGCCGGUAGACCUCUGUCCCUAAAGGAGUUGGCAGAAUUAUUGAGAUUCCAUAGUUGUUAUCAAGAGACAGCGGAGAAAAAACAACUUCAGAAGCUCUUGGAGACCUGGAAGUACCAACAGGAGAUAGAAAAUGAAACGUUAAAAAAAAGUUUAGCCAGAGCAGGAGAAAGCAUCCUUGAGUACGAAGCCCGUCUUCUAACCAUUGAGGAUUUGGUCGGAAGGGUUCAAAAGAAAAGUCUAGGAACCCUAAAAAGUCCCUAUGGACCCCUCUCAGAAAUUGAAAACCAUUCAGAGACAAUUGAGAUGGACAAAGGGAUGCUCUCCCAGAAGGUUGAACUUUUAACUAGUGAAAAUGGGGCAUUGAAACAACGGUGUCAGGAGAUCGUGAACCAACUGACAGAGGCUGACAGAGAAAUAGACAGACUUAAAGUUGAGCUGAUCAGCCAGCAAGGCGGUAAACAGCAUCACCUGGUCAUGGAAGAGCUAAAAAUACUAAAAGCAGAACUGGCUGAAAACCAGGCAAACUCUAUAGACAGGGAGUUUUACGAGAGGGAGCUGAAUGAGAAGUCCUUGAGGCUUCAUGAAGCUCUGAUUACGAUGGAGGAGCUCGGCAACACCCUAAAAGAAACUGAGAAGAAGCUCCAGUUGAAAGAGGCAACGCUAAAAGGUCUUGGUUUUAACCCAGAUUAUGAGGAGGAGGAGGAGUUACAUCCAGAGGAAGAACUACUUGAAUCCUCGCAAGCAAAGCUAUUUGAGAUGGAGGCAAACCUUCAUUCUAAAGAAAAGCGCUGUUUGGAACUUGAAGCCAGGAACAGAGAACUAAUGACAUUGAACCAGGAAUCUGAGAAACUCAAUAGAGAGAUGCUAAGAGAAGCAGAAAACCAAAUAACUAUGCUAAGAGAGAAGUUAGAAUUGAAGACGGGUAGAGUUGAAAAGACAAUAAGCGAAUGUGUCGAAGCAGGAAAAACGCAAGUCGAUAAUAAAGGACUGUUAAAGCAAGUGGUAGAAGAGAUUGAGAGGAAGUCUGAGGCGAUUGAUCAGGUUUUAGAGAUGUUAGCAAAGGUAGAUGUUGAUGUAGAGAACACACUCAAUGAUUUAAAAAGCACUUUAUUUAGUUGUUCAAAAGAAGAAGAACCCUGUGUGAGUCAGAAAGACAUGAGGUUGUUAAUAGAGGGAGAGUUCUGGAGCCAGCUGUUGGGGUCAUCCAUAAUCAAACCAGAAGAAGACAGACGCAGCUUUGAUAGAGGUUUGGCACGACAGAUGUUGGCACAGAAGCGCUUGAUGCUCUUGAUUAGGAGGAUUUGUCCACAAGAAAAAGAUGAAAGUGAGGUAGUGACAGAGCCAGAUUUUGCAUCCAUGUACAAAUGGCUUAAUAAUGAAACAAAUGCUCUGAUUAAAAAAGAGUUAAAAGACACCUUGGAGGAAAAGUCAAGUGUUCUGAAACAGAUUGUAUCCAGUGUGAAAUUGGCCAAAGACGACCAGAUUUUGUCUUUGGCUAUAACAAGCUUUGUUCAAGAACAGAAACCGUCCUCGGAUCAUCUGUUUGAUGCCCUAAAAGAAGCCUACAUGUCUUAUGUGAUCACUAGGCUGAAAGUCCAACAUAAACAAGAACUAAAGCAAAACCAGACCGAAGUUGAGAAUGGUAGCUUGGAUUGUCCAAAUUGUCAUCAAUUGAAAGAAGCCACCAAAAACCUUGAGUUGAAACUGGCAUUUAUCCAGAGUCAACUUGCCACAGGGCAACACACUUUCAUCCAGAUGGAAGGAGAGCCCACAGACUCAUUGCACCAAUCCAAUGAGCUUCAUGCCAGGAAGGAACUACAAGAGGUCAAAGACAGCUAUGAGAAGGAAGCUGAAAUGUUGAGGCAUAAAAUAGCUAAGGCCGACGAGAUGCUGCGUAUUCGCUCAGAAGAAAAUGUGAAGGAGAUCAACUCCCUGACAAACUGCAUGGAGAGUCUGAAGGAGAAGCACGAGAUGGAGAGGACGAACCUCAUGGAGAGGUUUGACCGGGAAAUGGAAGAGCUGAGGAGCAUGAUGAGUCCGUCAAACCAAGACAAGAACUCAGCGGAUACCGACAGACCGCCGCAUCUCGCCUCAGCCCACACAUCGACCCUGAAAGAGCGAAUCCGAGAGCUGGUCACCCAGGUCUCGGUCAUGACCCAAGAGAUGAGACGCCGGGAAGAGCAGGGAGACAAUACGACUCUACGACUGAAAUACGAGAAAGACCUGGAAAACCUGAAGGCCACCUGUGAGAGGGGCUUUGCUGCCAUGGAGGAUUCUCAUCAGAAGGUGAUCGAUGAGCUGCAGAAGAAGAACCACAGAGAGCUGGAGAACCUGCAUGCGGAGAAGGAGCGACUGCUUGAAGAGGAGACGGCAGCCACCAUCGCCGCAAUCGAAGCAAUGAAAAACGCCCACCGGUCAGAGCUGGAGAAGGAGCUGGACAAGGCUCGCAAGGCAAACAGCAACACAGAAAACGCAGACAUCGAGGAGAUCCGCAGGCAGCAUGAGGAGGAGCUGUGUUCCUUCCAGCGGGAGAUAGAGGUGUUGUCAGAGCAGUAUUCCCAGAAGUGCCUGGAGAACGCUCACCUGGCCCAGGCUCUGGAGGCCGAGAGGCAGGCCCUGCGGCAGUGUCAGAGGGAGAACCAGGAGCUCAACGCACACAACCAGGAGCUGAACAACCGCCUCGCAGCAGAGAUCACUAAGAUGCGCUCCAUGACGUCUGAGGAUGGAGUAGGAGACUCAAACAUCACAAUACAGGGGAAAGAGCUCUACGAGUUAGAAGUGAUGCUGAGGGUGAAGGAGUCUGAGGUCCAGUACUUGAAGCAGGAAAUCAACUCCCUGAAAGACGAGCUCCAAUCUGCCCAAAGAGACAAGAAAUAUGCAACAGAUAAGUACAAGGACAUCUACACGGAGCUGAGCAUCGUGAAGGCCAAAGCCGAGCGGGACCUGGGCCGGCUCAGAGACCAGCUGCAGCUCGCCCACCAGGCGCUGGGGGAGGCGUCGCUGGAAGAGGUGGAGCGGGGGGGAUACGGUACGGACAAAAGAUAUCAUGAAGUCCAAAAGCAACCCUGACAUCCUGAAGAUGGCGGCUGCUGCAGCCAAACGCUCAGAGCGCACACUGAGGUCAAAGUCUGUGAAUCGAGACAUGCCCUGGGACAGUUAGGGCUGCAGAGGACGUGUAGGCUCCUCCCCCUUCUCCUUUAGAGUCUGAGGGAAGGGCUGACAGCCGAGCAGAGACUCCACCUGUUUGAAAACAAAGACGCGAAGGAGUUCUGACAGUGACGCAUCACGUCUUCUUACCUUGCUGCAUGUUUAGAAGUCCACUAUAGUUUAGCUCUGUAAUUACUUAUUUAGUUACACUACACACUGGUCACACAACACAGAUCAUAUAUUAUUAUUAAAAACAUGGUAUGAAGUUUGAAUUUCAUGUCUAGAUUUUGCAUUCCAUGCACUUCAGUUAACUGUGACAUUUUUUUGUAUCGUUUAUUUUUUUGCUGCCAUGUCUUACUGUAAAUACAGUUUUUAAUUGUCAUGCAUACACUAAAACUAUGAGUGUGUAAGCUACUGUUUUAACUCCCUAGACUAUUGCUUGCCAAAGGCAUAAAUGUGAUGUUUAAAGGCUAAACACAACUGCAUAAGGUGUAGUGCAUAUUAAAAGCAUAGGAAUGAGUCUGGCGUCAAUCAAUCUGAGACACCCGUUGAAAUGCGACAGCUUAAUGCAUUCGGACGGGAUUCACUGACUCUAAUUUAAAUAUAUAUAUAUAUGAACAUUUAUAUAGAUUUUUUUCUUUCUCCAACUGCAAUCAUCGGUCCAGCUGUAUGGGAGUUGUUUGUAGUCGUGUUCAGUGGCAGUCCCUUUUGUAUUUAUUUGAACGGUUGGGAUUUUUCUUUCACAUGCCCAUUCCUUUGUACUCUAUUAUUGUAAAUAUAAAGCAAAUAUACACCAUCUGACUACAGGUUUAUUAGCAAUAAAUAUUUUUGCACCCUU